UUACGGCAAUAUCACAUUGAAAUACCGGUUUCCGUACAAUCACCGGAGUUAAGCAACGUCGAACUUGGUCAGUCACGAGAUGGGUGACCACGUGAGAAUACCAAGUGCUGCAAU